rnacentral:rRNA from 1 species
AGUGAACGCUGGCGGUAGGCCUAACACAUGCAAGUCGAACGGCAGCACAGUAAGAGCUUGCUCUUACGGGUGGCGAGUGGCGGACGGGUGAGGAAUACAUCGGAAUCUACUUUUUCGUGGGGGAUAACGUAGGGAAACUUACGCUAAUACCGCAUACGACCUACGGGUGAAAGCAGGGGAUCUUCGGACCUUGCGCGAUUGAAUGAGCCGAUGUCGGAUUAGCUAGUUGGCGGGGUAAAGGCCCACCAAGGCGACGAUCCGUAGCUGGUCUGAGAGGAUGACCAGCCACACUGGAACUGAGACACGGUCCAGACUCCUACGGGAGGCAGCAGUGGGGAAUAUUGGACAAUGGGCGCAAGCCUGAUCCAGCCAUACCGCGUGGGUGAAGAAGGCCUUCGGGUUGUAAAGCCCUUUUGUUGGGAAAGAAAAGCAGCAGGUUAAUACCCCGCUGUUCUGACGGUACCCGAAGAAUAAGCACCGGCUAACUUCGUG